rnacentral:rRNA from 1 species
UAAAACUAAGAGGAGCUGGCAUCAAGCACAACCCUGUAGCUCACGAGCCUUGCUUAACAAACCCCCACGGGAAACAGCAGUGACAAAAAUUAAGCCAUAAACGAAAGUUUGACUAAGUUAUAUUAAUUAGGGUUGGUAAAAUCUCGUGCCAGCCACCGCGGUCAUACGAUUAACCAAGCUAACAGGAGUACGGCGUAAAACGUGUUAAAGCACCAUACCAAAUAGGGUUAAAUUCUAACUAAGCUGUAAAAAGCCAUGAUU